rnacentral:rRNA from 1 species
CCUACGGGUGGCAGCAGUGGGGAAUAUUGCACAAUGGGCGCAAGCCUGAUGCAGCCAUGCCGCGUGUAUGAAGAAGGCCUUCGGGUUGUAAAGUACUUUCAGCGAGGAGGAAGGCAUUGUGGUUAAUAACCACAGUGAUUGACGUUACUCGCAGAAGAAGCACCGGCUAACUCCGUGCCAGCAGCCGCGGUAAUACGGAGGGUGCAAGCGUUAAUCGGAAUUACUGGGCGUAAAGCGCACGCAGGCGGUCUGUCAAGUCGGAUGUGAAAUCCCCGGGCUCAACCUGGGAACUGCAUUCGAAACUGGCAGGCUAGAGUCUUGUAGAGGGGGGUAGAAUUCCAGGUGUAGCGGUGAAAUGCGUAGAGAUCUGGAGGAAUACCGGUGGCGAAGGCGGCCCCCUGGACAAAGACUGACGCUCAGGUGCGAAAGCGUGGGGAGCAAACAGGAUUAGAUACCCCGGUAGUC